CAGCAGCCACGGUAAUACGUAGGUGGCAAGCGUUGUCCGGAAUUAUUGGGCGUAAAGGGCUCGCAGGCGGUUUCUUAAGUCUGAUGUGAAAGCCCCCGGCUCAACCGGGGAGGGUCAUUGGAAACUGGGAAACUUAAGUGCAGAAGAGGAGAGUGGAAUUCCACGUGUAGCGGUGAAAUGCGUAGAGAUGUGGAGGAACACCAGUGGCGAAGGCAACUCUCUGGUCUGUAACUGACGCUGAGGAGCGAAAGCGUGGGGAGCGAACAGGAUUAGAUACCCGUGUAGUCCCUGUCUCUUAUAA
rnacentral:rRNA from 1 species